GGGCGAUGGGAGCAAUGUCUGUGUCCACAGGGACUGACACCGAAAAGUGGCCUUUCACUGGAGCGCAGAAAGAAUGAGGAAUUGACUAAACACCACUUGGAAAUUUCAUCACUUCUAGGUUGCAACCUUAUUUUCAAGGCUAUUUCAUGUCAUUGGUGACUUCUCUUCCAACUUACCCUGACAGUGAGAGAGGUGCCCAUCACGCUGGUGGGGUCGAUAGAGAACUGUACCAGGCCAUGCUCAUCAGUGGUCGCAUUGGAUUUAUAGUUAGCUUCAUUUGCUGUGAUGAAGAUGAGUUCAUUUGGCAUGGGGACACCUUUCCCAUCCACUAGUUGCACCUGAAGAUUAAAAUCUGUGGAUCAGUUAUAUGGUUAAUA